UACAGAGGUCCCAAGCGUUGUUCGGAUUCACUGGGCGUAAAGGGUGCGUAGGUGGUUGGGUAAGUCUGGUGUGAAAUCUCCGAGCUUAACUCGGAAAUGGCAUUGGAUACUAUCCAGCUAGAGAGUUGGAGGGGGGACUGGAAUACUUGGUGUAGCAGUGAAAUGCGUAGAUAUCAAGUGGAACACCAGUGGCGAAGGCGAGUCCCUAGACAACUUCUGACACUGAGGCACGAAAGCUAGGGGAGCAAACAGG
rnacentral:rRNA from 1 species